AGGAUCCUUGUUGACACUUUUUUUCCCCCUCUUUUUUUAUGCGGUCACCUGAGAAAUAAAAAUAAAUAAAUAAAUAAAAAAAACACCAUACCCAUCGAGUUCACCACAAAAUGUUAACUACAAUUGCUAGACUCAUCUAAGGGGCCGGUAUCGACGUACUUUAUGCGGUUUGAUACUAGUGUGUGUCGCGGAGAAUGACACAUACUACAUUUGACGUCGUCACCUGGUGGAAGAAGAAAUCCCCUUUCGCCCUAUCGUCUCUCUCCUUCCCACCGAGCACAUCGUCACAGCAGCCUCGGAGC